AUCGGCACCCACACCUAUAAACACCUGAACCACCCCACCGAUUCCCACCUCGUCCGGCCACUGACUCGGCUUCCUCUCCUCGAAGACGACUCCAAGGUUCUCUCGACGCCGCGCCCUCGAUCGGAGGGUUUUUCGCUUAUAAACCUUUUGAGGAGUUGCAGUAGAGGUAGAGGAUGACUGUUGCCGCUCCCGGGCAACUGAAUCUUGAGGAGCCCCCGUCGUGGGGGUCUCGGAGCGUCGACUGCUUCGAGAAAUUGGAGCAGAUUGGUGAAGGCACAUAUGGGCAGGUCUAUAUGGCAAGAGAAAUAAAAACAGGGGAAAUAGUGGCCCUGAAGAAAAUUAGAAUGGACAAUGAAAGAGAAGGAUUUCCUAUAACAGCCAUACGCGAAAUCAAAAUUCUGAAGAAGCUGCAUCAUGAAAAUGUUAUCCAAUUGAAGGAGAUUGUGACCUCUCCAGGUCCUGAAAAGGAUGAACAAGGAAAGCCAGAUGCUAACAAGUAUAAAGGAAACAUCUACAUGGUUUUUGAGUACAUGGAUCAUGAUUUGACUGGCCUAGCAGACCGUCCUGGGAUGAGAUUCACUGUACCCCAAAUUAAGUGCUACAUGAGGCAGCUGCUAACAGGUCUUCAUUAUUGUCAUGUCAAUCAAGUGCUCCAUCGCGACAUUAAAGGUUCUAAUCUUCUAAUUGAUAAUGAGGGGAAUCUAAAACUUGCUGAUUUUGGCCUUGCACGGUCAUUCUCCAGUGAUCACAAUGGAAACCUAACAAAUCGUGUGAUCACAUUGUGGUACAGGCCUCCAGAGUUGCUGCUUGGAACUACAAAGUAUGGUCCAGCUGUUGACAUGUGGUCUGUCGGUUGUAUCUUUGCAGAACUUCUGCAUGGGAAACCAAUCUUGCCGGGAAAAAAUGAGCCGGAGCAACUAACUAAGAUAUUUGAACUCUGUGGGACUCCGGAUGAGGUCAACUGGCCUGGUGUUUCUAAAAUUCCCUGGUAUAACAAUUUUAAGCCUUCACGGCCAAUGAAGAGACGGCUCAGGGAGGUUUUCAAGCAUUUUGACCGUCAUGCUUUGGACUUGCUAGAGAGAAUGUUAACACUGGAUCCAUCCCAGAGGAUUUCUGCAAAAGAUGCACUGGAUGCAGAGUACUUUUGGAAUGAUCCUCUACCUUGUGAUCCUAAAAGCUUACCAAAGUAUGAGUCCUCACAUGAGUUCCAGACAAAGAAGAAGCGUCAACAGCAACGACAACAGCAAGAGGAAGCAGCAAAGCGACAGAAAAUACAGCAUCCACCACCGCAUGCCCGUCUGCCACCCAUUCAGCAAACUGGGCAACCACACCCUCAGAUCAGACCUGGUCCCAGCCAGCCUAUGCACAAUGCUCCUCCUCCCAUGGCUGCUGGCCCAAGCCAUCACUAUGGCAAGCCACGAGGCCCUUCUGGAGGGCCAAGCAGAUACCCACAAGGUGGAAAUCCAAGUGGUGGAUAUAACCCAAAUCGUGGUGGUCAAGGUGGUGGUUAUGGCGGCGGUCCAUAUCCCCAGCAAGGACGUGGACCUCCUCCUUAUGGUGGGAGUGGUAUGCCUGGUACCGGUGGUCCUAGAGGUGGUAGCGGCAGUGGUUAUGGAGUAGGUGCCCCAAAUUACCCCCAGGGGGGUCCAUAUGGUGCUUCAGGUGCAGGCCGGGGCCCCAACAUGAUGGGUGGGAAUCGCAACCAGCAGCACCAACAACAGUACGGUGGCUGGCAGUAGUAAAGUUACAUACCUAUUCAUGUUUAGAUUUUUCGGUUUGUUGAGUUGUUUACUUGGAAGUAACUUGUUGUCAUGGGUAAGUUGUGUCGGUGCGGAAGCUGAAUUAUAUCUGAGCUUGCAAUUAGGGACCUGAAAGCUGUGUUUUGUUUAAGGACUUGGGAGUUGUGGAGGUGGGCUUCAAAUGUUAGUAGGUGAUUCCUGCUGGAAAUGCUGUUUCAGUGCAGUAUCAUUGGCGACCAGGUUUACUCUGGAGAAAAAAGAGAAUUUCUUGUUUUUCUUGUAAGUUUAUGUUUGCUCAACCUGGAGGCCAGAAAAGUUGAUUGUGUUGUCAAAUUUCUGCUCGAGCUUGGCUUUGAAGUUGGGUUGGCAUUUUCUAACACAACUCAAUCUUCGAGUGUAAGGGGAGGGGGAACAAUCUUACCCAGUUUAUUUAAAGAAAGCAUGUACAAGAGAAAGAAGAGCGUGGGGGAAGGGGGAGAGAAAGGAAGCGAAAUAUCACAAAGUAAGAAUCGUCGAGAGUGAAUUUCAUAAUCUAUGGUGUGCUAUGUGUGCUUUCUCAUUACCCAGGUUGCUGCAGUCCUUGAAGAGUUCUAAUGAGAGUCUCUGUGGAGCUGCUUUUAUGCAGAAAUAUUCUACUAUUUCUUUCUGUCCAGAUUGAUCACGUCAGGGCUAACACCAAUUUAUCCCAUGCCGUUCUUAAA